ACGAAGGGGGCGAGCGUUGUUCGGAUUUACUGGGCGUAAAGGGCGCGUAGGCGGCGAUGUAAGUCAGGCGUGAAAGCCCCGGGCUCAACCUGGGAACGGCGCUUGGGACUACAUUGCUGGAGUUCGGGAGAGGAGAGUGGAAUUCCCAGUGUAGAGGUGAAAUUCGUAGAUAUUGGGAAGAACACCGGUGGCGAAGGCGGCUCUCUGGACCGAUACUGACGCUGAGGCGCGAAAGCGUGGGGAGCAAACAGGAUUAGAUACCCUGGUAGUCCACGCUGUAAACGAUGUGUGCUAGACGUUGGGGGGCCUAGCUCCUCGGUGUCGCAGCUAACGCUUUAAGCACACCGCCUGGGGAGUACGGCCGCAAGGUUA
rnacentral:rRNA from 1 species